rnacentral:piRNA from 1 species
UGGGCACAUUGGUAAUGACAAUCCCAGACA